GCCUUAGUGGUGUAAUGGUCAACACACUUGACACGUAUUCGAAAGUUCCGAGGUUCGAGUCUCGGCGAGGGCA
rnacentral:tRNA from 1 species